UUCCAACUUCAUCUCUCUCUCUCUCUUCUCACUUUUCUCUCUACUCAGAUUUUCAAUUCACAGAGAUAGAGAGAAUGACUAAAAUCUCUGUUGGAUUGCAACUUGUGACAGCAGAUUCAAAGGAAAAACCAAACAACAUAGUGAUCAAAUCUUCACUGAGAAUAAACCGAUUCAAUCCAAUCAUCUCGGAGCUUUGUUUCCUCAAAACAUGUCAUCUCUGCAAUAAACAACUCCGUCAAGACAAAGAUGUUUACAUGUACAGAGGAGAUUUGGGAUUUUGUAGUAGAGAGUGCAGAGAAAGUCAGAUUUUGUUUGAUGAAAGAAAAGAAUUAGAGGCUUCGACGAAGAUGAUGUUGGCUUCGUAUAGACGAUGUAACUCCGGCGCCGGGAAAAGCGAGUCUCGAGAUUUAUUUGAUGAUCUCCGGCGAAGACGCCAAUUGUUUAUAGUUCCUUGAGGCUUUUUUAAACAAUCACUAAUUAUAGUUUUUUUUUUUUGUUAAACACCUUACUAAGUUAUAAGUAAAAAGGAAGAGAUGUUAAUUAAAUUGUGUCGUUUUUCAAAAUCUUAAAAUGUUUAUUGGACAGUUUAUGUGGUGAUCUCAGGUGGGAUAACUACUAAUUUAGUAA